rnacentral:rRNA from 1 species
GGAUAACAGGCUGAUACCGCCCAAGAGUUCAUAUCGACGGCGGUGUUUGGCACCUCGAUGUCGGCUCAUCUCAUCCUGGGCUGAAGCAGGUCCCAAGGGUAUGGCUGUUCGCCAUUUAAAGAGGUACGCGAGCUGGGUUUAGAACGUCGUGAGACAGUUCGGUCCCUAUCUGGUGUGGGCGUUGGAUGAUUGAUGGGAGGUGCUCCUAGUACGAGAGGACCGGA